rnacentral:lncRNA from 1 species
UUCGGCUUCCGAAUUCAGGUUCGGCCCCCGAAUGUGGCAUGGAUUUGCAUGCGAUUCGGCAGCCGAAGCUGAGUUGCUUAGCCAGCAGUUUUGUAUCCCUUAGUCAGCAUUUUGGACAGGUGUUAUCACCAGCUCAUGUCCAGACGUUGGCCACGUCUCCCCUGGUUUAUUUGCUGAGUUUGAGCAGCUCAUGCAAGAGUUAGCUAGUGUGCAAGAGAGUUGGAAAGUGUUGAAGAAACAAAAAACUAAGUUUUUGAGAGUUUGAGAGUGUGAAGAGAGGUGG